rnacentral:sRNA from 1 species
GCCAGGUGCAGUGGCGUAUGCCUGUAAUCCCAGAGGCUUGGGAGGCUGAGGCAGGAGGAUUGCAAGUUUGAAGCCAGCCUCAACAAAAGCAAGGUGCUAAGCAACUCAGUGAGACCCUGUCUCUA